GAGGUAAAACAAGCCCCAGCUUCUAACUGGGGGUCGAUUCAGUAAGAAUCUUACUUCU
rnacentral:tRNA from 1 species